rnacentral:tRNA from 1 species
ACUUUCUUAGUAUACUUAGUACUACUGACUUCCAAUCAGUAAGCUCCGAAUAACUCCGGAAGAGAGUA